UCCAGUGAGGCAAUCAUUGGUACAUGCUGACCAACGAUGUAUUAUGGUCAGGAGCUAGUUUCCUUUCAGAUCUAGCUAGCUGGUGCUGAUCAUGGGGAUAUACUGGUGGAAGCAUAUUUUUUCAUAUGAUAUAAGACCUUAUUUCUUUUUGAGUCUCUAGUGGGAUGAUUAUUGGCAUAUGAUUGAUGUAUGACAUAUUAUAGUCAUGAUCUAAUAUCUUUUGGAGCUUGUCACAGGUCGAUCAUGGCCAC
rnacentral:lncRNA from 1 species